CGGCGUGUCGUCGGUCCCGGCGCGCGAGUGACUCACGACUUCACCCGGGCGCCGCGGGGGAAACAGGAAACUCCUCGCCAACAGCUGGGCAGGACCUCUCGCCGCCCCGGAGCCUUCUCCCUGGGCUCGGCUCCCAGCCCUCGCCCUCCCUCGCAGCUGCCAAUCACGUCCCCGGGACCGGCCCCCCUCCGAGGACGGCGCUGGCAAACUUUCAGCGGCCCCUCGCCGCCCUCGCGAGUUCCUGACUAUUUCCUGAGCGGAGGACGAAGCGCACGCGUUUGAGAAAGUCACCGAACCCCUGAACGUAGAAAGUGCCCGCGCUUCCCCCCGCACCCAAAGCAGCACCCUCCCUCCCCCCCUCCCUCCCGCGUAUUCUUAGCGCCUCAGAGCAGUGUUGGCAAACGCCAAGUGGCGAGCCAGGCGUGGAGAUGCUAAAACCUGAGUUGUGGGCGCGUUUUUUUCAAAUAAAACGGUAUUAAUAGAAACUGCAGUUGGGCCACAUGUUUACAGAAAGCACAAAUAGUUGCUUUUGGAAAAAACCAUAAGAACACACAGAGAAAAAGCUGCGUGAAGUCACAAGAAGAAGGCAGCCGUCUGCAAGACAAGUAGAGAGGCCUCAGGAGAAACCAGACCUGCUGACACCUUGACCUUGGACGUGCAGCCUCUGAAACGCAGGCAGGGCACACUUGUGUGUGAGAGCAACUGAGGUCAGCAGAGCUGGAGGAACACCAAGUCCCCGAGUGUGAAGAGUGUGAGGGCGUCCCGCUGAACUUCAGGACAUGGUGACGUUUUCUGGAGGCGUCUCAUGCUGCUGCUCCGAAGAGCUUUCUCGUACAAGCAGAUGAUGAAAACAAAGGCUUGUGGUCCAGGAGUUCGUUUUCGAAAGUGGUUCUUUCUUAACAUGAGUCCGAAGGGAGCCAAGGAUUUUUCGUCGACAGAGGAUUAAGUGGCGAGGAGCAGAGAGAGGCCUCUGAUCAACAACCGGUGCGGAGUGGAGCCCCAGGUCCCGAGUCCUGGACCCCACAGGAAUUGAUCCUGCCAGCAUCCCCUCGGAUGAGCUGGGAGGCGGAUCCAUCCACAGUGCAACCACGACCGGCAGCCCCAACGGACACCUGGAGCCCGUGAGAGGAGCCCGCUGAGCCACACCUGGAUUCCCCACCUACAGAAGCUUGAGAUGGUGAAUGUGGCUGGUUCAAGCCACUGAGGUUUGGGGAAUGUGAUGUACAGCAGUUGAGAACUAAUACAGAGGUCAUUGCUAUGGUCUAAGUAAAACCUGGUCACGGCUUGAACCAAGGGGCAGCAGCAGAGGUGACGGGAGGUGGUCAGCUAUGGCUUUGAAAACAGAGUCAGGAAGAUAUGAGAAAAAGGCCCAAGGGGCACGUACAUGGAGCUUAAGUGGCACCAGGGACAGCUGGCCACUGGGUGUACCAUCCCUGUGGCCUCUGAAGGAGCGGGCUUGGGCCAGGCGGCAGCUGGCUUCGCUCUAAGGGAAGGAUGCUGACCCCCUCUUGCUCCCCCUUUUACGGGGCAAGAGUGAGAGCAGUCUUAGGAUAAACAGAUCUCCCAGGCACCCAGCGGUCUGAGGUCUCGGACAGAGAUGUUUACAGAAACUCGCGAGGAAGGACAACGUUACGGAAAGCUUUGUUCUGCUGCGAUCCCUCUUACUCUAAAGGAAGCAGCUCAAGAGAAGUUAUUUUUAAGACGGAAGCAAGAACCAUAGAUUUUUAUGCUGAUGGGAACAGUGCGGUUGAGGGGGAAAGUCCGAUGAGAAAAGGGAGAGUUGCUGGAAUGCAGCCUGUGUCUAAAGACUCGGGUGGGUCCUGGUGCACGAGUUUGGUGUCAUGUUCCCUCAUUCUCUGCAUGUUUUCCCGGCAAAGCAGGAGCAAGAAAGCCAAACUUUGUGUUUCCCUUAGACUGUGGCGCCCAGGAGAGGACUCCCCUUGUCCAAAAGAGUCACUUUGUAGACAGCCCAACCUCCAGCCAGUGGUCGACAGGUCAGAAAUGUGGACGCAGCAUUGCCAGAUCUCCUAAUUUUCAAAAGAAGCCUGUAACCCUGAUUACUUUGUGUGAGAGCUCCUGAUUUUUCAGUGCCCUCAACGAAUUCAGAAUUAAAUUUUAAAAAAGCAAUCCGCAGGCCAAAGCACACCAGCAGAUUGAAUGGGAGCGUGGUCUUUGCCCUGGGUCAUCACUGUUUUAGUUAACCUCUAAUUCUCCACACAGUGGCUGGAGUGAGUUUUUAAAACACAGAUCUGAUUGUUAUAAGGACCCUGUGACAAAGCCUUGAGUGGCUUUCUCUGGCACAGUGGGUGGAGCUUCGACUCUGUGAAAGAGCAUCUCCACCAUCAUGCCUGAGUGAGCGUUCCCACCUGUCCCCCGGGCCCCGCUCCUCAGAGACUGGACACUGCGGCCCAUGGGACCCCUCCCUGUCCUCGAGAGUGCCAGCUUCCAGGCGUGGCAACUGCUUCUCUCCCUCUUCCACUGACUUCAGUUUCUACUAACUCUUCAGUUCUUUUCUUUAUUUCCUUGUUCCCCUAGGCUGCCUGUCCCAGCCCCCUCCCACUAGAUUGAAGACCAGAUCUUUGCUAGGAACCCUCUUAAGCUCUCAUCACUGCUCACAUGGCCUCUAACAGCCCGGGGUACCCUCUGCUACAUCUGCCUUGUUUCUAAAUCCCCUGGACUCCGCAAUGUCUGGGGCCAAGAGCCGUCUCCAUUUGUCCGCUGAGUCAGCCAAGGGACUUCUCCGUGACAGGCCUCGAGUGCAUCCCUGGUAACAGUUGGUGUUGUCCAGGGCUGGACACCAGCUGUCUCUCUUGAGCCCUUUACAGCUCUUCUCCCAAUUGCAGGGUGUUGGGAUGUUGCCUGGCCCCUCACAUUCAACAUGCACCCCGCCCCAUCUCGUUCCCCUUCUCCACCGAUGCCACCAGAUCCCGCUCAGCCACAUGGACCCAGAGACUGAGGGCCCUCUCAUCUCUCACAGCAGGCAUCAGAUGCUCUUGAGUGUUUUCAUGACCGUCUCUCAAGUUAAGUUGUUGUUGUCCUUCCCGUUAUGACCAUCUCCAAUAAAAGCCUCCUUAAGCCUCCCCUGUACUGUUUAUCUCCACUCAGAUACAUCUCCCCGGAGCUACCGUUCUCUCAUCUCUGCCUUCUGAUCUACUCCCAACCCUGCUGGCAAACCCAGCGCGUUCUCCUCUGUUUCAGAUGCUUCACUGACUCCGCCUGGACGUUAGGUCUGGUUCAAAUCCCGUCAGAACCUCCUGCCCUUCAGUUUCCACCCAUUCAUCAUCCAGCCGAGCUUACAGUUCUUCUAACUUCCCACCACCCUGCCCCAUCUUACACAUUACGCUCUAAAACUCAAGCCUCUUAGGGUAUCCUGAACACCCCUUGUGUACCAUGUUCUAAAUGCAUUCACGUCUGCGGUUGCUUCUCCCCAAAUGCUGUUGCAUAUCUCUGGAGGAGCCACUAUUUAUCUUCCAAAUUCAGCUCAAAUACCCGCCAAGAAGAGGCAGGAAUCACUUCUUCCGUAUUUCCCUGUAAGAGCUACUCACUUCCUCUGAGCCCCAUUUGAUGAUUGUUUGUAUUUCUGUUUCUUGUACACCUGUUUCUUCCCCUGGACUCUGAGGUCAUUGAGAACAGGGACAAGACUCCCCUGAUCUCUGCUGUCCCACGGGUGGACACAGCACCUGACGCCCACAGUCGUUGGUGGACAUUGUUUGAAUGAAUGAGUUGCAUCCAUUCUUUGUUGCAUGCAGCUUGAACGCACCAUUGAUUCCAAGCACACGGCAUACCUGCUUUUAUAUUUAAAGCAGGUACUAAACCAUUUAGUGUUUAAUUUACGAGGAAAUGAUUAAACAGAAAGGACCUACUGCCUUGAUCUUGAAGGCAGCAAGCUCAUGUCUACUGCAGGGUCGCCAGGAAUGUCUGAGUAAAAUUAGAGGUCACUUCUUCCCUCCUAAAAUGUUUUGCCUUCUAACCUUCUCCCUUAUUCACUCUGUUCUCUAACAGACUCAUAGAAACUUUGAUCAGCUCUAAUCUUUAAAGUAAAAUCGAGACUCUGUGUUUGAACUCUUGGUCUAAAAGGAAUGACUACUGAUGAGAACAGGAGGAUAGAACAUUUGAAAUUGAGUCUGUUUCACAAAACGUCUAACAUAGGUUCCGUGUGACCAGGGAUGACUUAACUUCACACUUCCUUUUAGAGAAGAGGAAGCAAAGCCCUCAGACCCGGCCCGAGGCUCCGGGGCUGACCAGUUCCAGAGCAGUCUUCCGUCCUGCCACUCACAAAUUCCCAUAAGAUGUGAGCUAGGGAAGUGCAAACCGUUAACCCAACCACAUUUCCGGAGGGAACCCUUGGCACUGGAAUACUGUACAGGACUUCGAAGAAUACAUCUCCAGUGGUGCAGUUUUGCACACAACGUGUGGGAAACUUACAUGAUGGUUAAUUACAGGCACGCCGUGAAUCCGGAAGACCCUAGGGUGAGUCGAGGCCAACAAAGCCAGGCUGACUUUUCAUCCUUCUUUCUGUUUGGAACCUCAGAGGGUCUAGAAGAGUGAGCACCCAGAACCAGUUCUUGUUUUCACAUGGGGGGUCACAUGGUGGUGCAUUGUGGGAAAUUCCCGUUGUCACAGGGAGGGUGUGGGAGGCGCCCUUCCUCCUUUCAGAUGAACCACACGUACCGUGGGUGUCCUUCGAUGGUCUUGCACCGCUGCUGCCUGAAGUGCUGUAAAUGGGGGUGAAAAGGGCCGACAAGAACUUGGAGUUGUGGCUUAUCAUCAGAAUUGGCCUUGCUAACCGCAGAGAACCGAAAACCGCGCAUUUUGCCGAUCUCAGUCCCUAUCUGGGAUCUGCACCCCCGGCCUCAUAAUCAGAAGUAACAGCAUUAAUAAUCUUCUGACAAACACCUUCCCAAAGCUCUUUUUACUUCCCUGCAGUUUCCUUUUUAAUUUCCAUAGCUACUUUCCCCGUGUUUUCCCUCUGGAGUUUGAGUUUGGAAACGAAAAUGAUAAACGUCGAAUACUAAUUGGAUGUGCGGCACUGGGAAACAUGCAUGCUUUCAUUUCUUCAGUAAAGAAGCUACAGUAAAACCCUCACUGCCAUCUAUGGAUAUGGGGACCGAGGCAAAGAGAGUUUGUCUCAUUUGCCAGAGGUCACGACAACUAGUAACUGUAUUCCAGUGGGCCACACGGCCCUAUCUUCAAGAAGCAUUUUUUUCCAGUUGGGAGCUAGAGGUGUGUAGCAGGUCCGAGUAGGGUCGUCCCGGGACAGACCCCUCCCCAUCUCCCCUGCUGCAGCUGCUCCGGAAGGACCCAGGUCAUAGCAUCUCAUGCAGAUGUCCUGAGUUUUUCAGAGGCUAAAAAGCAACACCGAAGAAUGGAAAAUCAGAAAAAUGUCAGGCGAUUGUCACUGACAACGGAACAAACGCGCCGGCUCCGGGUGAUUCAGGCAUCGCGGGCGUUCGGUUUUCUCGCUCGCAGCUGUGCUGUUGGGGGAAGGAGCGCAGCAGGUUUGCCGGCCUGGCAAAGCAGACAGGCAGCAGCCGGGUUCCCUCGUUUCUCUUUAAGCCCCGGAAGAGCUCCACGACGUACCAGAUAGAGAUGCUGAAACUUCUUGUCUGCACUUUGACAAACUGUUCAAACAACACGGAGUAGCAACUGUUGCACGUUUAAAACAAGACUGCUUGAGAUCAAGAAAGCCUUACUAGGGAACCUUGCAAAUAAGAAAAACGCAUGAACCACAGGUGACUGCUUGGAGAGAGUGCAGUUUGUUUCUUGGUCUCUACUAAAGAAUAAAACCAACUCCUGUUUCUUGGGAGUGAAAGCAUUUCUUCCGUGUAUCAUGGAAGAAUAAAGAAUAGCCAUCCCACGCUUCUGGUCCAGGAAGGGGCGCCUUCCUGGAGCACGCGUCUGUCAGCCCCGAGCAACGUGGGGGGCUCGGUGCCGUCACCUUGUGAAAUCACGGCGGCUUCCAGCCAGGCUCCGUUCCCCGACCUCACAGAGCCUUCCCUGAUGCUCGCGUAGAUAUCCACCUGUCCAGCUGGUUAUUCUGCAGGGGAAUAAACUUGUUUCUGACUGAGUGUCAGAGUCCGUUCACUAUUUUAGCUCAUUAAGAAGGGACACUGAGCAGUAUAUACUGGGCAGUAUAUAUGUGUGGGUGGGGAGGGCUUUGUGCGAACUCUCUGUAUUUUCUGUUCAUUUGAUUCUGUUGUGAACCUGAAACUGCUCUAAAAGAAUAAAGUCUGUUAAAAAAAAAAAAAAGAAGAAGGGACACUGAGGUUUGGGUCACUGGACCUGACUGCUGCCUGUACUUGGCUCAGUGACAUGUCUGCAGUCAGAUGGGGGCUGGCUGGCCUGGGACUCUCUCCCCCACAGGAUGGAGAUUUACUAGGUGUUGGCUGGUAUUAAGGUGGCCUGGGUCACCGGGCUGCAUGCCUCCCCUCUGCCAGGUGUCUAGUCCAGGUCUGCUGCCCUAGCAGAGCCAGAGGACCACGAGAUAAAGGGAAUAUAUUCAAGGUUUGUUGAAGCCUGGGCUUGGAAGUGGCACGUCAUUACUUAACACUAUAUUCCUUUCGCUGAAGCAAAUCACACGACCAAGCUCAAUAUCACUGGAGCAGGAAGUCCAUUCUACCUCCAAGAGGAACUGCAGAGUCCCGUGCCCAGGAUGGUGGAGAGCACAGACAGCUGGAGGUGGCAGCAGCUCUGACUGCUUGUCUGCCUGCUGCAGGGGGCGCCACAGUGCUCGGCGCGUGGUAAGCUUUCCGUGUGAGAUGAGUGAUGCUUUUCUUGUGGAGGGGGCUGGAGGGGGCUGGGGGAGGGAGAGUGGUCCAGUCCAGGGGUAGGAAGCUGACUGUGGAAUGAAGGUGCAGCUGAGGAACAGUGAUGGAGCUCUGAUCUUGUAGUGGGUGCGCUGAGCUCUGAGGAUCUUCUGGACGCCAGCUUCCCCUGUGUCUCGAACCGAUCCAGGUCCCCAGAUGGGAUAUUGGAUCAUUCUUUCCAAAUCCAGGGCACUGUUCAAAUAUUAAGAGAUUCUCUAAUUCUCUACACCUGAGCAGAGAAUGACUCUUGCCAUGUUCCCCAAGGAACCUUCUGUGUCACAAUGGCAAAGUGAUUCAUCCACCCAAGGUCACGGGUAAACUGACAUCUUCUGCACGUGAGCUGAGUUGGGUCCCGCUAAGGUCACCACGGCACCUGGUACUCUUCCUUCUCUGCACUUCUUGGGCUGUGUCAUCCCCAAAUAUUUAGUCAUCUGUUUCCUGGCACACUGCCAGAGGACUGAAACCCAUCUAUGCUGUAUAUAAAACCCUACUGCGUAGUGGGCCCUGAGUAAGUGUGCUUACUGAGUGAAAAAGUAGCGCAUAGAUCCCGGAAAUGGCCACUUUCUACCUUGUUGAAGCUCUUCAUUUACUCAGAUCUCCUUUUUCUUCAUCACAAAACAAUGAACCUGUGGUGCCCUCUCUCAAAGCCACACUUUAACUUUUUAAAAACAUUGUAAGUGAUGCUUGGCAAAUUCGUAAAUGUACAGCAGUAAUUUCAAAGGUUAUCAGUUUAUGGAAAAAUAAAAAAAUGUAUGGUAUUGCUUUGAUUUUGGGCAUUUCUACAGGGAAAGACCUUGCAUUCCAGUCUCUUUAGAAUCCUCACCUGAUCAUUUAGACCAUUCCCCCUCUUCCCAAGGCUGCCUUUUUGCCCAAUAUAGCAAAUCGUUUGAAGUUCUUUAAAUUCCAAUAUUUAAACUUAAGGUUUUAAAUAUUUAGGAUUUUCUAGUUUGUACUGCCAUGUUUACAAUAGACUUUGGAAACAGCAGGAAGCUUCCAUCUUCAGUACAAUCUCAUUGUGAUCUUUCAUGUAUUGUGUAGCAUGGAACAUUCCGGAAAAGAGAACUUGCGAAUUUGAAAUUUGCCUACUUCUUGAUCUAUAAGCGACUUUUUGUUGGUUGUACAUGACCAGAAGUCACUGACAGUGAUCUGUGUGUGGUCGGAAGUCCCGGAGUAGUUGGAGACAGUGAUCAUUCAUGGCGAAUAAAUCCAGCCAGACAUACUUCACAGUCAGCUGUUCCUCCGACAAGUUUGAGGAUGUGGCCUGUCUCAGAACAUUCCAGGUACAAUUAAGUCACCACCUCCCCUCCUUCUGAAGCCCAGGUGCAGCCCAGGGACACUCAGGGCUUACGUUCCAGAUGUUUUUCCACCUAAAUAACAAACAUGUUGCUGGAGAACAUCUUCUCCAAAAGCAGGAUCAUUCAGGAGGAGUUGCUGAGAUGAUUCUAUGGCAUUUGUUUAAAAUAGGAAGUCACAAUUUCUAUAAGGAGUGAGUUAAAAAAAAAAACUUGAGGCAGAGUAUUGGGUUGAAACUUAGAACCUGUACAGUUGUCAUGAGUUAGCAAUUUGAAAUCUGUAAAUGCCUUCUAGUGCUGUCAAGAUGUUUGGAAGGGAAGUCCAUGAUUUCUGCAUGGAUGUACUCUCAGAAAUGCCCUUCUAAUGUCAGGUCUCCUGACAAAUUCUAAUAGAAUUUAUCAGGUACUCCUUGGAUUCCUGUACCACUGAGAGUAAGAACAAACCCUACUGGAUGCAAAUGCUCUUCUUCUUAGCACCUUACAUGUGGGACCUCAUUUACUUCAAAAGCAAUCCUUUAAGGUAGAUACAGCUUUACCAUCAUCCUUAUUUUUCAGGUGAGGAAAUUGAGGCCCAGAGAAGGUAAGUGACUUGUCCAAAGUCACACAGCUAGUAAGUGAUAGAAUAGGACUAAACUCGAGGACACCUGCUCUUAAACACCAUGUCACCUGCUUCCCAUUCCUGUGUGCCUCUACCCAAGUGCUGACCAUGCUGGAAUAUAGUUCAGGUCUGUGGCUAUCUCCUCUGCUGCCUGCAAAGCCUUUAUCCAGCUAAUCCCUAUAUUCCAAAUGCCAACAAAGUACUGCCCCUUCCUGUUAAAUUAAUAAAUGCCCUUUCUGUUGAUUCAGUUCUUUGCAUUGUCAGUAAGGCUUAAAUAUAGGUACAUGAAAAGAAAUAAGGAAAAGAUGAAUAAAGCAUUAUUGUAUGCAGUCGAGAACAGCACAUGCAAAGGCCCUGUGGCAGAAAGGAACACAGGGAGCAAGAAGAAAGGAGUAAAAGGAGGAUUCAGACUAUCUUGGAGUUUCACUUGGAGUUACCGUGCUGUUCAUGGAACAUCUAGAAUUGACUGCGAUGGAUAGUUUUUUAGGUGAAUGUAUUCCUUGGAAUAAAUUACCAUCCAUUCUCUUCAUGAUACUAAAAUUGUAUUCUGAACGAUUCCCAGUUUCCCUCCUCAAAAGGUGAUCAUUCCAUACCAUCAGGCAAUGGAAGAGUUUGAAAGGUCAAAUAUUCUCUCUUUUAUAUACAAAACUUUCAGAAAAUCAAGCAAUCUUGAAAACAGAGUGAUCCUCUCAAUAGUACAAGAGUCCAAGGUAGGACAGGGGCUGCCAACACUGAGCUGGCAAAAGAGAAUAUUUUUUUGCUCCCGGUCAAGAAUAAUUUCAGUCGUCUUCUGGAAAUUUACAAAGCUGAACUUCGCUUCCAGGAAGAAAGAUUGCCGCUUUAUGCUGUAACUCACCACUGGCCUGAGCAUUCCCAUGGAAUUACUUAGGAGGCGGAAGAGAAUUUGUUCUUUCCUUAGCUUUUAAAAAUAGGUCAGGAGAUCAGAACUGAAGAGCGUGUUUAUCUCGGCGCCCCAAUUUAUCCUACACUAUUUUAUAUGCUUCCUGUUGGUGCAGGUCUCUCUCAGGGAACUACGUGGAAAAUAAAUGUCUAGCCAGUAGAUUUUCCUCCGAAAUAAACAUGUAAAGGUAAAAUGUAUUCCUCAGUAAAUCUACUGCCAGGGGAAAUGGGGUAGGAAGGGAACUUUCAAAUGGAUUUUUUUUCCUCCUAGAAACCUAGAUAAGCUGUGAGAGUAACUGGAACGGCCUCUCACGGGAAGUCAUAAAAUGCCACGAUGCUGAGAUGGGAACAGGACUAAGGGACGUUGCAGAGGGCACGCUUGGUCCCCCCGCCGUCCCUGUGUGAUGCCAGGUGGCCCUGUCCUCCGGGAGACUCGUGAGGGGACCGCAGUCCCGCGGAGCGUGGCCACCCGGUGGGCUCCCUGGAGACGGCCGAGCUGAGUAACGCGCCCGGUAACUGGGAAGAAGGCGUUGAUAGGACCUGAGUGAGGUCACCUCACCACUUUGCAAAGCUGGGUUGCUUCUCUUUGAUCUAUUCUUAUUGGCUGGAAUUGUGUUCAAAGCCACGCUGAUUUGAAAGCCUUCGUAUUUUAUUUCCUUUCGUAUUUUAUCUUAUUGUAUUUUGCUGCUGGCGACUUGGAAGACUGGUGUUGGAUUGUGGAGUUUUUUGGGGUCUUAACCAGGAUUGACUCUGCAGAGAUGAAGGUGUUUUAAAGAUGGCUAAGUGCUGGUGUGCAGUGUUGUCUUCUUGGGUGUAUAUUGGGCACGUUAUCUGAGAGUCUCAUUAACUCCCCCGUUCCUCAAAAAUCGCACCACAUAGCCACUGUCUUAAAUGAUCUGGGGUCAUCAUCAUUUAAAAUCUUACCUGGCAUUUUUAAAAAGCAUUUUUUAAAUCCUACAAUCAUUUUAGACUAACAGCAAAAUCCCAAUCAUCAUACAAAGAAUUAGCUGUUUUCUCUCCUCAUGUUCCCCUAAAUGUCAACCUUUCUCAUAUUUAUUACUUAUUUUCUCUCUUUCAUCGAAUUGUAGACACUUCACGGAUAGCUCAUGCCACUUUUUUUAAGCUGCUUCUAAAAAUCUUAGUUGUCCUUUCAUUUUCGUGCUUUGAAGUGUCACAUGAUGCAAUUUAUCAAGGUGCAGAGAACAAAAUGUAGUGUGAUUAUCAUGUGCUUCAACAGCAAAGGUAAAUUGAAAACUAGGGUGGACCACAGAAUUUCAUGAGCCAGUCUAAUGAGAAACAGGGACAAAAAAAAAAAAAAAGAAUCUGACUCCUGCUGCUUUGUCUUUGGGCUUCACAGACAUCUUAUUUGAAAGGGGGGCUCUGAGCAUAUUUGUGGCUUGUGGAUGCGUAAGUCCUCAGCCUACAGAAGUGAGAGGCAGGCAAUUCAAGGGGGCAGGGUAUAAAUUUGGUAAGUGUAGGUGAGAUCAAUACUGAUGUAGGAGAAUAAAUGGAAUUUUGAUUCAUGUAA